UCAUUUAUGUUUUGCAGGCAUGAGUUCUUCUCCGGAGAUCAGAAUUACUUCCAGUGAAUCCCAGAUGUUCCAUAUUGGAUUGUAGAAGAAAGCAAACAUACUGAAGGAAUAGCCACCAUCCCAUAAGGAGCUGCGGGAGGGAUCUCUGGAGAGACAAUGAGAGGCUGGCCCCAUGCAUCCACCAUGGUGAGCACACUACUCGCAGAAAGAAAUCACCAGCUCCAUAUGGGCCAGAAGCUCUACUGUCAUUAUGAAGGUAACUUCUGUUGCCUUUCAGCGAUAGACUAACGCUUUGUUAUAAAGGGAACACAGAGAAAUCUGAUCUGCUACAAAACUAGCAAACUAAAAUUCAUGUCCUGGGACUAAAGAGUAUUUCGCCUCAUUAAAUCUCCCUCAACAAAGAGCCAGAAGGAACCAUCCUCUCAGCUAAAAAUACCGUGAGGAGUUAGUUGCGACACCAGCGCAUCAUUCAGUGGCCGGUGACAGCUAAGCCCCGGAGGAGUUCUGGGUGUACCCUUCAGCAUCAGUGAGUGGAGUGUACCCAAGGACAACCAGACUGGAAAAAGCAGAUGACAAUUUUUAGUUUUUUCUCUCUGCAACCUAAGACUUCGUAUUGGAAGCCACUGACCAACUUCUGGAGUACUGUGGGCUGACAGCGCUUCACUUGCCUCUAUAACUGGGGCUGGCGUUGGUGGCCACAGCAAGCAGCCCAAGAACCUGAGAAUGAAGGGGAUGGAGAUGUCCCCCCUGACGGUUCAACUAAGAAAUCAGCAUAUGUGGAUCAUAGCUGAGAAGUUCCAGUUCCCUCCCUCCAGGGCCUGAACUUCAUGACCAUGGCAUUGAGUCAAGCAGAACGUAAGGACCAUCAGAGCCCAGGGAAGGAGACUCUCUGAGGACAAGGCACACACUGCCCACUGCCCAACUGGGAACUGUCCAGGGGGCAUGGCCACAGUCAAGGACAGAGAGAAAAGGGUUUGUUGGGAAGGCUGCUCAUGGCCAUGGGUGGAACCCAGGUAGAUCUCGGUCCCAGCUUGGCCAUUUCUGGGCUGUGUGACCUUACAC
rnacentral:lncRNA from 1 species